rnacentral:rRNA from 1 species
GAUGAACGCUGGCGGCGUGCCUAAUACAUGCAAGUCGAGCGAACAGACGAGGAGCUUGCUCCUUUGACGUUAGCGGCGGACGGGUGAGUAACACGUGGAUAACCUACCUAUAAGACUGGGAUAACUUCGGGAAACCGGAGCUAAUACCGGAUAACAUGUUGAACCGCAUGGUUCAACAGUGAAAGACGGUCUUGCUGUCACUUAUAGAUGGAUCCGCGCCGCAUUAGCUAGUUGGUAAGGUAACGGCUUACCAAGGCAACGAUGCGUAGCCGACCUGAGAGGGUGAUCGGCCACACUGGAACUGAGACACGGUCCAAACUCCUACGGGAGGCAGCAGUAGGGAAUCUUCCGCAAAGGGCGAAAGCCUGACGGAGCAACGCCGCGUGAGUGAAGAAGGUCUUCGGAUCGUAAAACUCUGUUAUUAGGGAAGAACAAAUGUGUAAGUAACUAUGCACGUCUUGACGGUACCUAAUCAGAAAGCCACGGCUAACUACGUG